rnacentral:rRNA from 1 species
GAUGAACGCUGGCGGUCUGCUUAACACAUGCAAGUCGAACGAACUCUUCGGAGUGAGUGGCGGACGGGUGAGUAACGCGUGAGAAUCUGGCUGUGGGUCGGGGACAACCACUGGAAACGGUGGCUAAUACCGGAUGAGCCGAAAGGUAAAAGAUUUAUUGCCCACAGAUGAGCUCGCGUCUGAUUAGCUAGUUGGUAAGGUAAAAGCGUACCAAGGCGACGAUCAGUAGCUGGUCUGAGAGGAUGAGCAGCCACACUGGGACUGAGACACGGCCCAGACUCCUACGGGAGGCAGCAGUGGGGAAUUUUCCGCAAUGGGCGAAAGCCUGACGGAGCAAGACCGCGU